AACGAACGCUGGCGGCAGGCUUAACACAUGCAAGUCGAGCGGGCCCUUCGGGGUCAGCGGCAGACGGGUGAGUAACACGUGGGAACAUACCCAUCCCUGCGGAACAACUCCGGGAAACUGGAGCUAAUACCGCAUACGCCCUUAGGGGGAAAGAUUUAUCGGGGAUGGAUUGGCCCGCGUUGGAUUAGCUAGUUGGUGGGGUAAAGGCCUACCAAGGCGACGAUCCAUAGCUGGUCUGAGAGGAUGAUCAGCCACAUUGGGACUGAGACACGGCCCAAACUCCUACGGGAGGCAGCAGUGGGGAAUAUUGGACAAUGGGCGCAAGCCUGAUCCAGCCAUGCCGCGUGAGUGAUGAAGGCCUUAGGGUUGUAAGCUCUUUCACCGAUGAAGAUAAUGACGGUAGUCGGAGAAGAAGCCCCGGCUAACUUCGUGCCAGCCGCCGCAGUAAUAC
rnacentral:rRNA from 1 species